rnacentral:rRNA from 1 species
UACAGAGGUCCCAAGCGUUGUUCGGAUUCACUGGGCGUAAAGGGUGCGUAGGUGGUGGGGUAAGUUUGAUGUGAAAUCUCCGAGCUUAACUCGGAAUGGCAUUGAAUACUACUCUGCUGGAGGUCGGAGGGGAGACUGGAAUUUUCGGUGUAGCAGUGAAAUGCGUGGAUAUCGAAAGGAACACCAGUGGCGAAAGCGAGUCUCUGGACGACUCCUGACACUGAGGCACGAAAGCUAGGGGAGCAAACAGG